AUAUCCUACGGGGAGCAGCAGUGGGGAAUAUUGGGCAAUGGGCGCAAGCCUGACCCAGCAACGCCGCGUGAAGGAAGAAGGCUUUCGGGUUGUAAACUUCUUUUCUCAGGGACGAAGAAAGUGACGGUACCUGAGGAAUAAGCCACGGCUAACUACGUGCCAGCAGCCGCGGUAAUACGUAGGUGGCAAGCGUUAUCCGGAUUUACUGGGUGUAAAGGGCGUGUAGGCGGGGAAGCAAGUCAGAUGUGAAAACCACGGGCUCAACUUGUGGCCUGCAUUUGAAACUG
rnacentral:rRNA from 1 species